rnacentral:rRNA from 1 species
CGGGACGGGUGAGUAACGCGUGGGUAACCUGCCUCAUACAGGGGGAUAACGGUUAGAAAUGACUGCUAAUACCGCAUAAGCGCACAGUACCACAUGGUACAGUGUGAAAAACUCCGGUGGUAUGAGAUGGACCCGCGUCUGAUUAGCUAGUUGGUGAGGUAACGGCCCACCAAGGCGACGAUCAGUAGCCGACCUGAGAGGGUGACCGGCCACAUUGGGACUGAGACACGGCCCAG